GAUGAACGCUGGCGGCGUGCCUAAUACAUGCAAGUCGAGCGAACGGACGAGAAGCUUGCUUCUCUGAUGUUAGCGGCGGACGGGUGAGUAACACGUGGAUAACCUACCUAUAUGACUGGGAUAACUUCGGGAAACCGUAGAUAAUCCCGGAUAAUAUUUUGCACCGCAUGGUUCAAAGGUGAAAGACGGUCUUGCUGUCACGUCUAGAUGGAUCUGCGCUGCAUUGGCUAGUUGGUAAGGUAACGGCUUACCAAGGCAACGAGGCAUAGCCGACCUGAGAGGGUGAUCGGCCACACGGGAACUGAGACGCGGUCCAGACGCCUGCGGGAGGCAGCAGAAGGGAAUCGUCCGCAAUGGGCGAAAGCCUGACGGAGCAACGCCGCGUGAGUGAUGAAGGUCUUCGGAUCGUAAAACUCUGUUAUUAGGGAAGAACAUAUGUGUAAGUAACUGUGCACAUCUUGACGGUACCUAAUCAGAAAGCCACGGCUAACUACGUG
rnacentral:rRNA from 1 species